CGUAGGUGGCAAGCGUUGUCCGGAUUUAUUGGGUUUAAAGGGUGCGUAGGCGGUGAUUUAAGUCAGUGGUGAAAUACUUCAGCUUAACUGGAGAGGUGCCAUUGAUACUGGGUCACUUGAGUACUGAUGAGGUAGGCGGAAUGGACGGUGUAGCGGUGAAAUGCUUAGAUAUCGUCCAGAACACCGAUAGCGAAGGCAGCUUACUAAGGAGUAACUGACGCUGAGGCACGAAAGUGUGGGGAUCAAACAGGAUUAGAUACCCUGGUAGUCCACACUGUAAACGAUGAUCACUCGAUGUUGGCGAUACACAGCCAGCGUCUUAGCAAAAGCGAUAAGUGAUCCACCUGGGGAGUACGCCGGCAACGGUG
rnacentral:rRNA from 1 species